rnacentral:lncRNA from 1 species
CCCAGUAAUAUCACACAUCACCACUUGUCUGAAUAACAAUCUGAACUAACAUUAACAGUAUCAUGUUAAAACAUGCAUUCUUUUACCAAAUUAUAUUUUAAGCGAUGCCAUUGUAACUACCGAAACAACUCAAAUGCCUGAAAUCUAGCAGGCUGCAAGAUGAAUUUGUAUUCCCACACCAAAUCAAAUCAAUGCACUAAAUCAGUAGCAGUUUUUUUUUAACACUUCAAUGGACCAAAACAUAUUAAUAUCAUCAUGAUCAUAACGAUUUCUUUGCCUUUGAACAUCUAGAAGUGACUAUUAUAGAAGCUGUCAAUUAAAAAACAGACAUACGCAAUCUCUCACUCAAUCAAAUACUUUGUGGAAGCUUGUUCUGCUGGGUAACCCAAAAAAAAACUAUUGUAAUACACACAAAAGUUCCAAACUAAAAUCCACUUGCAGUAACAUCGAUCUAUAAACCUGUUUUAGAUAUUGGACCGGUGUCAGAUUCCAUCUACUUUAUUGGCCAAUCUAUUUACCUUCAGUUUUUGAUGUAGUAAACCUUUGCAUUGUUUGUCAUUUAAAAUUAUGUAAAGAACAAUCAUCCUUAUUUUUAUACCAUUUUGGAAAAAUUUAUAUUAUGUAGACAACUGCAAUUAUACCUUUGCAUUGUUUGUUGUUUAAACUCAAGUAUGAUACACAAAUUAAAAACAUAUGUUCUUUUUUCCUGUACCAUUAUGCAGAAUUUGUCCUUGUAUGGUCAAUUGCGAUACCAAAUGUAAGAGUAAUUUUAAAUACACACCCCUAAUCUCUUAAUACACAUCUCUUACUUAAUACACUACUCAUC